AAGUAUCAAUUAAAGUUCUGGAAAUUGGCCUCCCACUGGGAGGAAUUGCAAAGUUGUUUGCUUAGGAUUUGCUCAUGAUUGUUGAUUAGAACGAACAUAAUUGUCCAUUGUCCUGCUCUCAUUAGAACCCUGUACAACUAGAUCUUGCACUGUCGCCCUUGGAUAUUGGGAAGUCUGAAGAAGCCUGUGGUUUAGCGCGUCUGGGCAUUGGAGUGGGCCAACUACCUGACGAC